UACGAAGGGGGCUAGCGUUGUUCGGAAUUACUGGGCGUAAAGGGCGCGUAGGCGGCCCUGUUAGUCGAGUGUGAAAGGCCUGGGCUCAACCCAGGAACUGCGCUCGAUACGGCAGGGCUAGAGUGUGGGAGAGGUUGGUGGAAUUCCCAGUGUAGAGGUGAAAUUCGUAGAUAUUGGGAAGAACACCGGUGGCGAAGGCGGCCAACUGGACCACAACUGACGCUGAGGCGCGAAAGCGUGGGGAGCAAACAGGAUUAGAAACCCGUGUAGUCC
rnacentral:rRNA from 1 species